GACAGAGGAGCCAAGCGUUGUCCGGAAUCAUUGGGCGUAAAGCGCGUGUAGGCGGCUCGGCAAGUCUGGUGUGAAAACUGGAGGCUCAACCUCCAGCUGUCGCUGGAUACUGCCGGGCUUGAGUCCGGAAGAGGAGAGUGGAAUUCCUGGUGUAGCGGUGGAAUGCGCAGAUAUCAGGAGGAACACCAAUGGCGAAGGCAGCUCUCUGGUACGUGACUGACGCUGAGACGCGAAAGCGUGGGGAGCGAACAGG
rnacentral:rRNA from 1 species